rnacentral:rRNA from 1 species
AGUGAACGCUGGCGGUAGGCCUAACACAUGCAAGUCGAACGGCAGCACAGUAAGAGCUUGCUCUUACGGGUGGCGAGUGGCGGACGGGUGAGGAAUACAUCGGAAUCUACUUUUUCGUGGGGGAUAACGUAGGGAAACUUACGCUAAUACCGCAUACGACCUACGGGUGGAAGCAGGGGAUCUUCGGACCUUUCGCGAUUGAAUGAGCCGAUGUCGGAUUAGCUAGUUGGCGGGGUAAAGGCCCACCAAGGCGACGAUCCGUAGCUGGUCUGAGAGGAUGAUCAGCCACACUGGAACUGAGACACGGUCCAGACUCCUACGGGAGGCAGCAGUGGGGAAUAUUGGACAAAGGGCGCAAGCCUGAUCCAGCCAUACCGCGUGGGUGAAGAAGGCCUUCGGGUUGUAAAGCCCUUUUGUUGGGAAAGAAAAGCAGCAGGUUAAUACCCCGCUGUUCUGACGGUACCCAAAGAAUAAGCACCGGCUAACUUCGUG